CCCCACCUUCAUUGCUCUCCUGCCCUCAAGUCUACAACCACCUCCUGGAUGAGUACUCCCACAUGAUGUCAAGGGAGAGAAUAUUUCUUCUCUCUUCUGGGAUUUCACAUGAUCCAAAGAGAUUCUGUCAGGCAAACAACCAGAACAUUCAGAUGCAUUGCUCAAGGACACAGAUCCCAUCCCUGAUCAAGCCACUGGAAAUGAAAACUGGUUACUGAGGUGUAAGCAAGAGUUGUCCAGCUAAUGAAAAUGCAUCCAGUUACCAGGAAUGGUGUACACUUGUGGGUCACAGUAAUUUAGUUUAAAUAUUGUACAAAAGUGGAAUCAUAUCCAUUUCAUAUGAAAGGCUUCUAAUGAGAAUUGAUAGCAGGGCACAGUUAUUUUCUUCGUAU
rnacentral:lncRNA from 1 species